CCUACGGGAGGCAGCAGUGAGGAAUAUUGGUCAAUGGACGAGAGUCUGAACCAGCCAAGUAGCGUGAAGGAUGACUGCCCUAUGGGUUGUAAACUUCUUUUAUAAAGGAAUAAAACGAGGCACGUGUGCCUUUUUGCAUGUACUUUAUGAAUAAGGAUCGGCUAACUCCGUGCCAGCCGCCGCGGUAAUACGGAGGAUCCGAGCGUUAUACGGAUUUAUUGGGUUUAAAGGGAGCGUAGAUGGGUUGUUAAGUCAGUUGUGAAAGUUUGCGGCUCAACCGUAAAAUUGCAAUUGAUACUGGCAGUCUUGAGUACAGUUGAGGUAGGCGGAAUUCGUGGUGUAGCGGUGAAAUGCUUAGAUAUCACGAAGAACCCCGAUUGCGAAGGCAGCUUACUAAACUGUGACUGACAUUGAUGCUCGAAAGUGUGGGUAUCAAACAGGAUUAGAUACCCUUGUAGUC
rnacentral:rRNA from 1 species